rnacentral:rRNA from 1 species
CCCCUAGAUGUUCUGGGCCGCACGCGCGCUACACUGAACAGUUCAACAAGUCUUAACCUUGGCCGAUAGGUCUGGGUAAUCUUUGAACAUCGAUCGUGAUCGGGAUAGAUUCUUGUAAUUUUUGAUCUUAAACGAGGAAUUCCUAGUAAACGCAAGUCAUCAGCUUGCAUUGAUUACGUCCCUGCCCUUUGUACACACCGCCCGUCGCACCUACCGAUUGAAUGGUCCGGUGAAAUCUCCGGACUGGCGUGAGUCGGAGCAAUCUGACAAACGCCGGAAAGUUGAUUAAACCUUACCAUUUAGAGGAAGGUGAAGUCGUAACA